rnacentral:rRNA from 1 species
GAUGAACGCUGGCGGCGUGCCUAAUACAUGCAAGUCGAGCGAACAGACGAGGAGCUUGCUCCUCUGACGUUAGCGGCGGACGGGUGAGUAACACGUGGAUAACCUACCUAUAAGACUGGGAUAACUUCGGGAAACCGGAGCUAAUACCGGAUAAUAUAUUGAACCGCAUGGUUCAAUAGUGAAAGACGGUUUUGCUGUCACUUAUAGAUGGAUCCGCGCCGCAUUAGCUAGUUGGUAAGGUAACGGCUUACCAAGGCAACGAUGCGUAGCCGACCUGAGAGGGUGGAUAGGCAAACAGGAACAUGGACAAGGGCCAAGACCCCAAGGGAGGCCGGAGUAGGGAAUCUUACGCAAAGGGCGGAAGCCUGAACGAAGAAACGCGGGGGAGGGGAGAAAGUCUUUCGAUUGGAAAAACUCGGUAAUAGGGAAGAAAAAAAUGUGAAGUUAAUAUGCAAGGUUUGAAGGGAACUAAUUAGAAAAGCCCGGCUAACCUCGUG